rnacentral:rRNA from 1 species
UACGAAGGGGGCUAGCGUUGCUCGGAAUUACUGGGCGUAAAGCGUGCGCAGGCGGUUCUCCAAGUCCGUUGUGAAAGCCCCGGGCUCAACCUGGGAAUGGCAGUGGAAACUAGGGGACUGGAAUCUGGCAGAGGGGGGUGGAAUGCCGCGUGUAGCAGUGAAAUGCGUAGAGAUGCGGCGGAACACCGAUGGCGAAGGCAGCCCCCUGGGCUGAGAUUGACGCUCAGGCACGAAAGCGUGGGGAGCAAACAGG